rnacentral:lncRNA from 1 species
CCUAGAGGCUCAAUCUUCGAGCUCUGCCAAGCGGUGCAACCGCUCCAGUCAGGAGGUGCAACCGCCUGAUCCCGGAAUUCCGGGAAUUGACAGUUUUGAGCUCCAAAUUUAAACUGGGUUGGGGCCUAUAAAUACCCCACCCAUUCAACACUGAAAGGAGAUAGAAUACACUCCGAAAUCUUGAUCUUGUUUUAUGAUUUUUAGAGCUCAAAAUUGUUGUAAAGGCCAAAAGUCCUUCUCCCUCUUUUCUUCCAAGUUCUGCGCUGUAAAGAGAGGAGAGGAGAGAAAAUUCUGUAAGGGUUGUCUCCUAAGCCCGUCAAAAGGAGUGAAACUGUAAAAGGGUGGUUGGCCUUCGCCUAUUGAAGGAAGGCCUCUAGUUGACGUCGGUGACCUCGUCGGUGGAGGAAGCCAAAAGUGGAGUAGGUCAAGAUUGACCAAACCACUCUAAAUCUCGGUUUGCAUUUACUUUGAGCAUUUUAUCUUUACUGCAAACCUCCUCUAA